UACGAAGGGGGCGAGCGUUAUUCGGAAUCACUGGGCGUAAAGCGUGCGUAGGCUGUUUGGCAAGUUGGAAGUGAAAGCCCAGGGCUCAACCCUGGAAUUGCUUUCAAAACUGCCAGACUCGAAUUCGGGAGAGGAUAGCGGAAUUUCCAGUGUAGUAGUGAAAUACGUAGAUAUUGGAAGGAACACCAGUGGCGUAAGCGGCUAUCUGGACCGACAUUGACGCUGAGGCACGAAAGCGUGGGGAUCAAACAGG
rnacentral:rRNA from 1 species